rnacentral:rRNA from 1 species
GAUGAACGCUAGCGGCAGGCCUAAUACAUGCAAGUCGAACGGGCCGCAAGGUCAGUGGCAAACGGGUGCGUAACGCGUAAGCAACCUGCCUCAUACUGGGGGAUAGCCUUGCGAAAGCGAGGGUAAACCCGCACGGUCCAGUUUCUUCACCUGGGGAGAUUGGUAAACAUUUAUGGGUAUGAGAGGGGCCUGCGUCUGAUUAGCUAGUUGGCGGGGUAACGGCUCACCAAGGCGAUGAUCAGUAGGGGUUCUGAGAGGAUUGGCCCCCACAUGGGUACUGAGAUACGGACCCAACUCCUACGGGAGGCAGCAGUAGGGAAUAUUGGGCAAUGGAGGCAACUCUGACCCAGCCAUGCCGCGUGCAGGAUGAAGGCGCUCAGCGUUGUAAACUGCUUUUAUCUGGGAAGAAAAGUAGUCCUGCGGGAGUAUGUGACGGUACCAGAGGAAUAAGCACCGGCUAACUCCGUGCCAGCAGCCGCGGUAA